UACGUAGGGGGCUAGCGUUGUCCGGAUUUAUUGGGCGUAAAGAGCGUGUAGGCGGCCAUGUAGGUCCGGUGUGAAAACUCGAGGCUUAACCUCGAGAUGUCAUCGGAAACCAUUUGGCUAGAGUCCGGAAGAGGAGAGUGGAAUUCCUGGUGUAGCGGUGAAAUGCGCAGAUAUCAGGAAGAACACCAAUGGCGAAAGCAGCUCUCUGGGACGGUACUGACGCUGAGACGCGAAAGCGUGGGUAGCAAACAGG
rnacentral:rRNA from 1 species